UUGAUCCUGCCAGUAGUCAUAUGCUUGUCUCAAAGAUUAAGCCAUGCAUGUCUAAGUCCAAGCUGUGUUCACACGGCGAGACCGCGGACGGCUCAUUAAAUCAGUCGUGGUCCAAAUGGGCCAGUGCAAAUCCUACUUGGAUAACUGUGGUAAUUCCAGAGCUAAUACAUGCAACUGAUAUCCCGAAGGCGGUGUUGGGGCUUGCUUGCCUUGCGCUGCGCUGCUCUGACGGAUGCUUUUAUUAGACCAAGCCGCUGAGGACUUGAGGGUUCGCGCUCUCUUGUUUGACUCGUGUGAUGGUGACUCUGGAUAACCAAAUUCUGACAAGCGCACGUACUUCUCUUCUGAGCGAGACGGCGCUGCCACUUUCGAGUGUCUGCCUUAUCAGCUAUCAACCGUUCGUUAUGCGCGACCGAUGGCUUUGACGGGUAACGGGGAAUCAGGGUUCGAUUCCGGAGAGGCAGCCUGAGAGACGGCUACCACGUCCAAGGACGGCAGCAGGCACGCAAAUUACCCAAUCCCAGCAAAUGGGGGAGGUAGUGACGAAAUCUAACGAUGCGGGCGCCCUUUCUGGGGCCCCGCAAUCGGAAUGGGCACUUUCUAAACAACCUGUUGAGAACCUACUGAA
rnacentral:rRNA from 1 species